CCUACGGGGGGCAGCAGUGAGGAAUAUUGGUCAAUGGACGAGAGUCUGAACCAGCCAAGUAGCGUGAAGGAUGACUGCCCUAUGGGUUGUAAACUUCUUUUAUAUGGGAAUAAAACGUUCCACGUGUGGGAUUUUGUAUGUACCAUAUGAAUAAGGAUCGGCUAACUCCGUGCCAGCAGCCGCGGUAAUACGGAGGAUCCGAGCGUUAUCCGGAUUUAUUGGGUUUAAAGGGGGCGUAGGUGGAUUGUUAAGUCAGUUGUGAAAGUUUGCGGCUCAACCGUAAAAUUGCAGUUGAAACUGGCAGUCUUGAGUACAGUAGAGGUGGGCGGAAUUCGUGGUGUAGCGGUGAAAUGCUUAGAUAUCACGAAGAACUCCGAUUGCGAAGGCAGUUCACUGGACUGCAACUGACACUGAGGCUCGAAAGUGUGGGUAUCAAACAGGAUUAGAUACCCCUGUAGUC
rnacentral:rRNA from 1 species